UACGUAGGGUGCGAGCGUUUGUCCGGAAUUAUUGGGCGUAAAGAGCUCGUAGGCGGUUUGUCGCGUCUGCUGUGAAAUCCCGAGGCUCAACCUCGGGCCUGCAGUGGGUACGGGCAGACUAGAAUGCGGUAGGGGAGAUUGGAAUUCCUGGUGUAGCGGUGGAAUGCGCAGAUAUCAGGAGGAACACCGAUGGCGAAGGCAGAUCUCUGGGCCGUAACUGACGCUGAGGAGCGAAAGCGUGGGGAGCGAACAGG
rnacentral:rRNA from 1 species